GUGCUUGCUUAGGCAGCACAUGUACUAAAACUGGACAUACAGAGAGUAUUAGCAUGGCUCCUGCGCAAGGAUAUAACGUGUAAAUCUGUAAAGUGGUCCAUAUUUUU
ensembl:snRNA U6 U6 spliceosomal RNA